CUGCAGUGUCUGUUCAUGCGCAUGGUAUCAAGAGAAAAUGUCCUCAUUGUGAACUCAACUUUUUAACCCUAGCUCCGAUGCAAAUGAACCGAUGGCCCCAUCUUGAGAACUGCAGUGCUAGGCCUGCUAGGAAGGUGGGGAAGGGUUCGGGAGGAAAAACCUGCUCCGACUGUGGAGGAUCUUACAGGGAUUCCUGGAAACAUAAAAGACAGUGUACUGCAACAAAUCGAGAUAUUAAACACGUUUGCUGCUGCUGUAAGAAAGGAUUU